rnacentral:lncRNA from 1 species
GCCGUCAUGCUUCCAGGAUAGGCUCUGCAGCUGGUCCCCAUGGGCCUCCAGUGCUGCGAGCGGCUGCUGCUGCCCCACAUCCCACACAGUGACCCGCUUUCCCACACCACUGGUCAGGAUGCCAUCUGCUGUUGGGUGAAACUGCAGCAUGUCCACUGUGCCCCCACCAGGACCCAACAUCAGCCCUGCACUGCUGGGCAGCUCCUGGCCUUCCUCAGGCAGGCGCCAAACCUUCAC